UACGUAGGGUGCGAGCGUUAAUCGGAAUUACUGGGCGUAAAGCGUGCGCAGGCGGUCUGUUAAGACCGAUGUGAAAUCCCCGGGCUUAACCUGGGAACUGCAUUGGUGACUGGCAGGCUUUGAGUGUGGCAGAGGGAGGUAGAAUUCCACGUGUAGCAGUGAAAUGCGUAGAGAUGUGGAGGAACACCGAUGGCGAAGGCAGCCCCCUGAGUUAACACUGACGCUCAGGCACGAAAGCGUGGGGAGCAAACAGG
rnacentral:rRNA from 1 species